AUGGCGGCAGUCAACAGCAACAACAGCAGCACAGGCAGAGGAGCAGUAGCAUCAACACGGAUCAGCAAUAGCAGCAUAGGCAGAGGAGCAGUAGCAUCAACACGGGAAGAGGAGCAGCAGCAGCACCACGGGCUAGCUCCACCGGCGGCAGGGGAGAAACAGAGAAACAAGAUGCAGCAACACGGGCUAGCACCACCGGCGGGCACGCAGGCAGAGAAGGAGCACGACGGCUGCGCGUGGGAGCUCGACGAGGACUCGCGGGAAACCACGGAGGGCGCGCGCGAGCUGCUAUCCACCAGAUCGUGGAGGCUGGCUCCGGCGAUGCCCGUAGUUGGAUCGCGGUGGCGCACGGGAGGCAGCUCAAGGAGGACUCGCGGGAGCUCGAGGACGAUGAGAAGGAGCUCCUGCUCCACCGGAUCAUGGUGGCAAACUCCGGCGAUGCCCGCAGGUAAUCACCGCGGGAGGGGAUCGCGGCGGCGCAGGUCUGGGCGGCGGUGGCGGAGCAAGUACUUGGCGACGGCGGCGGCGUUGAAGGUACGUGGCGGCGGAGGCGGAACACUUCCUGGUGGGCGGCAAUCACGCAGCUUGGCGGCGCCGGCCCCUGGAGACGCAUGGGCGACGGCGGAGGAAGAAGACAGGGGUGGAGGGACUUGUUUGCGAUUAUUUUAA
rnacentral:rRNA from 1 species